UACGGAGGGUGCAAGCGUUAUCCGGAUUUACUGGGUUUAAAGGGUGCGUAGGUGGGCAGGUAAGUCAGUGGUGAAAUCUCCGAGCUUAACUCGGAAACUGCCAUUGAUACUAUCUGUCUUGAAUAUCCUGGAGGUAAGCGGAAUAUGUCAUGUAGCGGUGAAAUGCGUAGAUAUCGGGAGGAACACCAGUGGCGAAGGCGACUACCUGGCCCAUUCUUGACGCUGAGGCGCGAAAGCUAGGGGAGCGAACGGG
rnacentral:rRNA from 1 species